ensembl:scaRNA
UGCCUCUCUCUCGUGGGGCGAUGGUGGGGGGAGCUCCCUUUUCUCCUCACCCAGGGUUGGAGGCCAAGAUCAGCCUUUGAGGAUGAUUGUUGGGGCUGCCACGAGCUGGCAGCUUUUUUUUCCUGUCUCAGACAUCU